UACGUAGGGAGCAAGCGUUGUCCGGAAUCAUUGGGCGUAAAGCGCGCGUAGGCGGCCCCGUAAGUCCGCUGUGAAAGUCAAAGGCUCAACCUUUGAAAGCCGGUGGAUACUGUGGGGCUAGAGUCCGGAAGAGGCGAGUGGAAUUCCUGGUGUAGCGGUGAAAUGCGUAGAUAUCGGAAGGAACACCAGUGGCGAAGGCGGCUUCCUGGACUAAUACUGACGCUGAGGUGCGAAAGCGUGGGGAGCAAACAGG
rnacentral:rRNA from 1 species